rnacentral:misc_RNA from 1 species
CGGGAGCCAACCGCCUGCUCGUAGGCCUGGCGUGGCCAUUGAUGGUCCUUUUGCACUGGAUCAAGGACCGGCACCGCUCGGUUGACCUCGCCCGCUCAAACGCCGCUGAAAUUGGGUUCCUCCUCCUCGCCAGCCUUUACGCCUUUGUCAUCUUGUUCAAGGGCCGCAUCACGCUGUUCGACUUCCUCGUGCUGGCCGCAAUCUUUGGCGCGUAUGUGUGGCGCGUGCGCAAUUUGCCAAAAACCGACGAUUCGAGC